GAAAACACCUGCAAUUAACAUCGUAAAUGAAUCAUUAUGGACUUUGGUUUGACCAUCUCUCAUGAACCUACUUUGAGGCAAAGCAAUAAGCACUGCGAUCUUCCAUGCAGUUUUAUUCCAUUACUAUUCUUAUCAAGUUUAUCAUGCAGUUUGCACAGACACUACAGUUCCAGAGACACCACCAGACCUUGGUUGAGUGGAUUCUUCUUGCAUGACAGACAAAAAUGUGAGGAAUUCUGAAGAAAGGUCACUGGGUCCAAAAAUUUGCUUUCUCUCCACAGAUGCUGCCAGACCUGCUAGAUUUCUCCAGCAAUUUCUAUUUUUGUUUCACCAAUGUCAGGAGGCUGUGUUACAGUGUGGUGGCAGUUUUAUUUUUGGUGGUGAUUGGGGCUGUACAAUUCAGCUAAACAUGAUGCUGCCUGCUUUCUUAUUCUGGUGCGUCUUGUUGACAAAUUCCCAUUGGUCAGUUUUAUUGUGUAAAUUUGUCCUGUUACUUUAAGCGAUACAGUGCACAAACAAGUAGUUGUAUCAAUGCAGGAUCAGGUCCUUAUUGAAAUCUCAAAAUGCAAAUUAUCAAUAAAGCAAAUGCAUGCAGGUGACAGUAGACCCUAUUAAUUGCAGAGAUACCAAGUUACGAAAUGUAACCAAUUAACGAAGAUACAUGAAUAAAACUAAAAUACAUGUUGUUCUUCUCAAUUCUUUCCAAUUAUUUCAUUGCUAUGGUUACAAUGUUUUAAUUAGCUCAAAGCCAUCUCUCAUAGGCAUCAGUGAUUAGAUAGACAUUUGGCAGAUCAUUACCGACAUUGAUGAAUACUUGCUUUCAGACAUUACAUCAUCCUCCUUAUUUAACUAUUUUCGUUUAUUCCAUGUGCGCUCUUAACAUAUGACUUACAAUUCCAUGUAAUUCAGCCUUCUAGUCCAGAAAGAAAUUUUAAUCGUGCGCUGGUAAUUUAACGAGUACUAACUCCACAAGUUUCUUGGGUGAUUCAGUUUUUCAGGUAGUAAAGAUUCUUGUUCCCACUUCACCACCCUCACUACAUGGAGUGGGUGAAUGAUGCUCAAUGGAUAACAAUCAGGAUAAUCUUGGUUGAUCCUUUUACUUUUCUCAAUCCUGGUAUAGUCAGUUUUGGCAGUUUUACUGCAACCAUUUCCUUGAUGAAGGAAGAAGGCUGCCCCGCUGUGAGUUUAGCAACAACUGGGAAUGAAAAAUAUUGCUUGUAUGAUAUGGCUAUUUUAGUUAACAAAGGAAACAUAUGGGUCAGAAAGUGACAAAGAUGUAGCAUAUUAUGCACAUUGUUUAGCAGAAACAAAGUGUCCCAUUGUCUCAGCACUGACAUCAGACAUUGUUAAAACAAUUGAAUUCACAUCCUUAAUUCAAAGGAUAGAUGGAGUUGUGCACCUGUGAUUUAAUAAAGGAAGCAAAUAUGUAAGAUAUAUUUGAAUUUGUUUACAAGCUUUUGGGGAUAGUUAAAACAGUUAAUUAAUUAAAAAUAUAAACUUCAUCAUUAUUUAUGUUGGAAUUUUACCAUUGGUCAAGCUAAAUUAAAAAUAAUGAAAGGUAUGUAAUUAAGUAAUUUGGAACUACAAUGUAAUAUUUUGAAUAUUGUAUUGUAUACAUUCAAUUGCAGGCUGCAUUUUUUAAAUCACGGAAAUUUGUUUAAGCUAUCAUGUGGGAAAUAUUGACGACAUUUCUGUCAAAUAUGGAAUCCAAAUUUGAGAUGCACUUACCCAUAAGCAGAACAAUUAAAUGCAUGCAACAUCAUAUUUUUGCAUAACGUCAACAGAAGUAAACUGAAUUAGUCAUUUAUUGUUUUAAAGUAUGGUUUCAUUGACAUCUUCAACAAUGUACCUCAUCUCUAACUUAUGCCAAAUAGGAUGCACUACUCAAGCGUGAUUCUUUUUUAAAUUUUCCAUACUUAACCAUUAUUCAGACCUUUCUGAUUAAGCAGUCAAUCUUAUGCCAUGUAUUUGUGUGCAUUAGAUACUAUGUUCAGGUUGUUGAUAGUCCUUUGCUGUUGCUGUCUCAUGGCUGUAAAGAGACUUUCAUGGGUUGAGAUUGAAUCCAGACCAAGCUGAUAAAUGUAUCU